rnacentral:rRNA from 1 species
UACGUAGGGGGCUAGCGUUGUCCGGAAUCAUUGGGCGUAAAGCGCGCGUAGGCGGCCCGGUAAGUCCGCUGUGAAAGUCAAAGGCUCAACCUUUGAAUGUCAGCGGAUACUGCCGGGCUAGAGUCCGGAAGAGGCGAGUGGAAUUCCUGGUGUAGCGGUGAAAUGCGCAGAUAUCAGGAGGAACACCCGUGGCGAAGGCGGCAUCCUGGACCGACAUUGACGCUGAUGAGCGAAAGCUAGGGGAGCAAACGGG